UCCUCCUGAAAGACAUGGGUAGUGAGAUGUUCUUACGCAAUCGCGUCUCACUAUCUUGUCUUUCAUGCGGCG
rfam:Atta colombica isolate Treedump-2 unplaced genomic scaffold scaffold9, whole genome shotgun sequence.